rnacentral:rRNA from 1 species
AUGAUUAUUUGAGUAUUGAAAACACCAGUUCUCGUCCGAUCACCGAAAUUAAGCAAUGUCGGGUCCGGUCAGUACUUGGGAGGGUGACCACCUGGGAACACCGGGUGCUGUAGGUG